GCGUUGGUGGCCUAGUGGUUAAGGCAUUUGGCUCCUAACCAAAAGGUCGGUGGUUCAAAUCCACCAGCUGCUCCA